rnacentral:tRNA from 1 species
GAUUCAAUGGUCUAGUGGUUAUGAUUUCUGUCUUACACACAGAAGGUCCUGAGUUCGAUCCUCAGUUGAAUCA